rnacentral:rRNA from 1 species
GACGAACGCUGGCGGCGUGCUUAACACAUGCAAGUCGUACGGUAAGGCCCUUCUUGGGGUACACUCGUGUCGAACGCGUGUGUAUCACGUGUGUAACAUGCCCCCAACUUUUGGAUAUCGCUCUGAAACUGUUGCUCUUACUCCAUAUGUGCUCCUGCUUCAUGGUGAUGGUUGGAAAGCUCCGGCGGUUGUGGAUGAACUCGCGGCCUAUCAGCUUGUUGGUGGGGUAGUGGCCUACCAAGGCGGCGACGGGUAGCCGGCCUGAGAGGGUGACCGGCCACAAUGGGACUGGAAUAAGGCCCAGGAUCCUACGGGAGGGAGCAGGGGGGAAUAAUGCAAAAUGGGCGCAAAGCUGAUGGAGGAGCGCCGCGGGGGGGAUGACGGCCUUCGGGGUGUAAACCGCUUUUAGCAGGGACGGAGCUUUUUGUGACGGUACCUGGAGAAGAAGCACCGGCUAACUACGUG